CGGAGGGUGCAAGCGUUAUCCGGAUUUACUAGGUUUAAAGGGUGUGUAGGCGGGCUUUUAAGUCAGCGGUGAAAUCUCCAGGCUUAACCUGGAAACUGCCAUUGAUACUAUAAGUCUUGAAUACCGAUGAGGUGGGCAGAAUAUGUCAUGUAGCGGUGAAAUGCAUAGAUAUGACAUAGAAUACCGAUUGCGAAGGCAGCUCACUAACCGGUCAUUGACGCUGAGGCACGAAAGCGUGGGGAUCAAACAGGAUUAGAUACCCUGGUAGUCCACGCCCUAAACGAUGAUUACUCGACAUACGCGAUACACAGUGUGUGUCUGAGCGAAAGCAUUAAGUAAUCCACCUGGGAAGUACGUCCGCAAGGAUG
rnacentral:rRNA from 1 species